UUAGGAAUUUCCAUUGGAAAAUAAUUUAUAUAGAAUCUAGAGAUCAAAAGAAGUAUAAUAUAAGUAAUAUUGUGCAAGAAAUUAAAAUUUAAUCGAUGUUCGUAUAGAGAAUUCGAUAGAAGGGCAUUUCGGUCUUUUUACAUUAAUUAAAUCAAUUCUUUCUCUUUAUUUGGAAUGUGCCGAUUUUUACUCAUCAACUAGGAAUGAAAUGGCUGCAAAUUUUAUUUUAAAUAUUAGAGAGAAGUCUAGAGACAAGGCUUUACAAGUAGUUUAACUAAAUGUUGCCAAAUGUCUCCAUUUUUAUCCAUGGAAAAAUACUAAUGUUGGGAGACUAAAAACAUGAGAUAUCAUCUUUCUUCCUCAUUCUUCUCCUCUACAAAAAAAUCGGCAGCCACCUCUCUCAAAUCACCAUGGCUAUUUCCUCUCACAUUUUCUUAAGUUUAUCGGCGAAUCGAACAUGUAAUCGCGUAAACGUUAAGAAAUCAAGCGAAGGAGCCUAUAGCGUGUUUUGAACACAAAAGGAAUGGACCUAGAAGAUAGCGAAGGGUAGGAAGGUGAAAUAGGCUUAUAUUCAUAAGCCUGUGAGGUUGGAGUUGAUCUUAUGUCAGUGGUGUUGCGCAGCUUUGCAUCUUUGGUGAGUCACUGGUGGUCAACUUGGUUUAGUAGUCGUGGCAUGUUGUGUAAUAGUUUAAUCUUUAAUCUUCCGUUGGAUAAAUGUUAAGUUUUUAAUUGUGCUUUUAAGCUAAAAAGAAAAAAGGAAAAUUUCAGCACGGGUUUUCGAUACUGAAACGUGACAUCACUUAUUCGGUGGGUUUACCUACCGGUUA